UACGUAGGGGGCAAGCGUUGUCCGGAAUCAUUGGGCGUAAAGAGCGUGUAGGCGGCCUGGUAAGUCCGCUGUGAAAGUCCAGGGCUCAACCCUGGAAUGCCGGUGGAAACUGUCAGGCUCGAGUCCGGAAGAGGCGAGUGGAAUCCUGGUGUAGCGGUGAAAUGCGCAGAUAUCAGGAGGAACACCAAUGGCGAAGGCAGCUCGCUGGGACGGUACUGACGCUGAGGCGCGAAAGCGUGGGGAGCAAACAGG
rnacentral:rRNA from 1 species